CAGUCGCCGCGGUAAUACGAGGGGGGCAAGCGUUGUUCGGAAUUAUUGGGCGUAAAGGGUGCGUAGGCGGCUUGACAAGUCUUGUGUGAAAUCUAUGGGCUCAACCCAUAGUCUGCACGGGAAACUGUCGGGCUUGAGAAUGGGAGAGGUGAGUGGAAUUCCGAGUGUAGAGGUGAAAUUCGUAGAUAUUCGGAAGAACACCAGUGGCGAAGGCGGCUCACUGGACGACUGUUGACGCUGAGGUACGAAAGCGUGGGGAGCAAACAGGAUUAGAUACCCCUGUAGUCCCUGUCUCUUAUAC
rnacentral:rRNA from 1 species